rnacentral:rRNA from 1 species
AUUGAACGCUGGCGGCAGGCCUAACACAUGCCAGUCGCACGAGUGGCGGACGGGAGACUAAUGUCUGGGAAACUGCCUGAUGGAUGGGUAUAACAUCGGGAAACGGUAGCUAAUACCGCAUUCCAUCAGAUGUUCCCAGAUUGGAUUAGCUUUUUGGUGGGGUAACGGCUCACCAAGGCGACGAUACAUAGCUGGUCUGAGAGGAUGACCAGUCACACGGGAACUGAGACACGGGCCAGACUCCGAUGGGGGGCAGCAGUGGGGAAUAUUGGACAAUGGGCGAAAGCCUGAUGCAGCCAUGCAGCGUGUAUGAAGAAGGCCGUCGGUUUGUAAAGUACUGUCAGCGGUGAGGCGUUACCCGCAGAAGAAGCACCGGCUAACUCCGUGCCAGCAGCCGCGGUAAUAC